rnacentral:lncRNA from 1 species
ACAUCGUUUUUUCCACGAUCAUGGAACAUUGGAGGCUCUGCCCUAGCUUUAAAGUAUUUCAUCUUCACUGAGCGUCUCCUCUGUUUUAGAACACGUGGAGGAUCCCAUUGCAGAGACGUGUGCUUUUGAACUUUAUGACAAACAUCCCACGAAAACGAGUCCAGCUGAAAGCUUCCGCAGCAACUCACAAACUGCUCAGAAACCCAGGGUUGAUUUAGCGUCUGACGGCAUCUCUACACUGAUGGACAGUCCAGACUCCAUAGCACACCGCUCCCCCUCUCUACUGAUGAACAUUAAAGGAUUUUCUGACAGUGGCUCCGCCUCCUGUCGCACUAAACGGAAGAAAGACGAGAACCAUAGAGAGAGGGUCGAAGGGAUGAGGGACAGAGGUGAGGAGUGUGUGAAGAUGGAGCCGUUUGAUUGUCAGGUUCCCUCAGUUGAAAGUGGGAUUUGUGACCAAAGAACAGACGUUUCUGAUGCGAGUCCAGUUUUUAAGAAGCCAAACAGGAACUCUGACUGUGGUGUUACUGGCAGAAGAAGCUCAGCUGGAGAACAUCUACACACCGAUAAACACACUGUGAAGGUGGAGCCCACGUGGAGCAUCGACCCUGCACUCGCUCUGUCUGAGUACGACCAGGAGGAUGAUGAAGAGCAGAGACGUGCAGAGCUAACAGACACCGACUGUACGUGGGUCAGUCACAGUUUACUACAACACAGAGGGGUGAUCGACCACAGCAGAGGAGAGGGAGUCACUGGUCUGGGCAGGAAAGCAAACGACAGCUUGGAUUUGAUGUUUGACGCUUCAGCGUGUGGAGAAUACAAGUCCUUUACCAGCUCACACUUGGGGCGGAGCCAGGUCUGUGAAGAGGAGGAGGAGGAGGAGGAAGAAGAAGAAGAGAAGAAGAGGAAUGAUGCUCACCCUUUAGAUUCUCCUGAACACUCCAUGCACCAGAGGAAAGCUGGAGCGCCGAGCUUUGCCCACGUGGCGGUGAUCCGGAAGAAAGACGAGAGACGGAAGCUGAAAGGAACCACCUGUAAAGAAUGUGACACUUAUUACGCUGACCUACCAGAGGAGGAAAGAAAGAGGAAGUUGGCCUCGUGCUCCAGGCAUCGUUUCCUUUACAUUCCCCCGAGUACGCCUGAAAACUUCUGGGAGGUUGGAUUUCCUUCAACGCAAACGUGCAUCGACAGAGGUUAUAUCCGUGAAGAGAAGAAUCCUGAGUUGUGUUCCAGACGUAGAAAUCCACUCAGUGCUUUAUUUUCUCCUAAAAGUCGUGAGCAGGAAGGUCGACACAUUUCUCCCUGAGUACGAAUGUUUAUGAAGAACAGGUGAGAGUAAGAU